rnacentral:lncRNA from 1 species
UUUUAAAUGCUGUUUAAAAGUUCUUCUAAUUCAGAAAAAAACAGUUUAGCACAGUUCAAAGCAGUUUACCAGUGGAUCCAUGUGUUCAGCUUGUUAUUGGUUGUGACUAGAUGACAGAGAUAGGAUUUCUGAAGGAUACAGCCAACAAUAGCUGAAAACAGUGGAAAGCUGGUAGACGUCUUUUCUGUAAAUAAAGCACUAUUUGUGAGUUACUUUUAUGUCAAUCACAUAAAGGUAAGCACAUUACAUGGUCUUUAAAGUCCAUAUUUUAAUUUAAAAAAUUCCUAAAUUUAGCCCUAAAAUUUCCUUUAAAUUGUACCAAAUUCCUAAUUUUAGCCCUAUUUUUUUGUACAAAUUGCCCUAAAAUUAGCCCUAAUUUUAUGUCAGGGUAAGCUAGACAGCCUGAUAUGUCUGUAAUUCGUAGAGAAUGCGAAAUUCAUAACGCAAAAGAUUUGUAUUUGUAUUUAGAUAAAUACUUCCGUAAUCCAUCAACUUCUUCAUACAAGCCUAGGAAUGGGGAUACAAAACUAAAAGGGCGUUUGUUUUUCUAUGUUGAGGACAGCGAAGUAGACAGACAAAGGUAUACGUUAAAGGUUAAAGCUGUAAAAGAAAACAGAAAAUUACACUGCAUACGCUCUAUGUCCGGUAAUCCAGGUAUCCUAUAUGUAAGGAAAAUAUCCUGCUACUGUCCUUCGUGUACUGACCAAGAUUAUGAGAACUGUGUAUACAAGGGUAUAAUUGACCCCUGGGAGAAACGACACUUGAAUUAAGUUUUCAAGUCUACUAAUAUCUGUGUAUAGUUUUCAUUAUUAAAGAUCUGUGACUAUGUUUCCUAAACUCGUGAACCAAGCGAGCUUAUCAAAUAAGACUUAAAUCUAGUUAUAUACAGACACUCUGAUAUACAAAAUCUAUAAUUUGAAACUUUUUAAUAAAACAAUGCCCAAUAUAAUGCGCGUUUGUUGUCCUGAAUAUUUGAUUAAGCUAUUAUUCGUAGUUAGAUCACACAGUGUAAAUGUAGUCUCUUUUCUUUUUCAAUACCAUGUCAUUUCAUUCGCUAACAAUUGUAAGCAUAAGAAAUUACAGUUUGACAGGCCUAUUAUAUUUAAACACUUGAUCUAAAUUUAUAUAGCACUGGUCACUUUUACCCCUAUUAUAAGUGCUUGAUGGUUUAUGACGUUCUAAAGCUCUGUUUUUAGAACACAAAAAUAGUUGUAAGAACUAAGUUUUUUAAAAACAUAAAUAUACACAAGCAUAUUCCUGUUGUAUUAUGGUGUGUGGAUUGGAAGCCGCUAACCCUCCGGGUUUUCUUUCUGCUGAUAAGUGAUGAGUAAAUUACGAGUUUUGGAGUCUGAAAUACAGACCUGUUUUAUUUUGGUAUAUUGUGGUGUGUGGCAUGGAAGCCGCUAACCCGUUUAUUGUUACUUUUUCCUGUUGAUUUGUUAAACAUAUUUUUGUUAAGCCUAAACUUUGUGGUGGGUGGCAUGUAAGCCUCUAACCCAGUUCUACUUCAUGUAGAAAUUUCAUUUGUUGUGAAAAUAGCUUGUUUUGUAAAUCAUUUUUACUAUGCUAUGCAACAUAAUUAUGCUAAUGUCAGUACUUAGGGAAUAUAAACACGUUUUGAUAUUUGGUUAUAGAGUUGCACAUUUUAUAAACAACACAAUUUUGUAAUAUGAAUGUAUUUUGUAUGUAUCCGAUGAUGCAUUAUACUGUAUCAUUUUCGUUGUCGGUAAAUAUGACCUGUAUACAGACAAAUUUGAACAUGUAAAAGUAAAAAUCAACUUGUA